AUGACUAGGGAUAACCUUAGGAAGAGACACAUCAUCAAACCCCUUGAUUGUGUUUACUACUUGGAACAAGAGUCUUGUUCUCACCUAUUUUUUGAAUGUAUAGUUGCUAAACAUCUCUGGGCCCACAUUGAGGAAUAUUUCUCUAGUCAGAUUGGCUCAUCCUUCGAAUCUGUCGCCAGAUUCUGGAUUGCUACCAAAAAGUGCUCAGUUUUAAAUAUUGUUAGCUCAGCUGUCCUUUGGUGCCUCUGGAAAUAUAGAAAUGCUAUGAUUUUCAGUAACACCUCCUGGAUUUCCAUUCCGCAGGUCUUGAGGUUGAUCAGGAACAUGGUGAGGAACUGGGCGAUUCUCUCCUCCGGAUCGGAUAAGGACAAGUUGAUGAGCUUCGUGGAAACCCUAACAAGAUCCCUCCAGAAACCGUUGGCGAUCACUUGUGGCUGA
rnacentral:rRNA from 1 species